ensembl:lncRNA
CGUGAUUUCACCAGGUACAACAUGUUCCUGUAUCAACAUUCCAAUCAACCAAUCAGAAUUGAGAUAUAACUUUUCAGGAAAUAUCUGUUUUAGGCUUACAAUCAGGGUUAGGUGCUUCAACACCCUUGUUAAUCAGCUAUCAUUUCCCUCUGAUUUAAUGAUUAAAUUAUGGGUAGUGUUAGGUUUAGGGGUAGGGAUUGGGUUAAAUCUAUGUUUUUGGACAAUAAUGUUGAUCCAGGAACAUGUCUUGGCAAAAUCACGGCGACCACCAAAAACACACAGCAUAUACAUUGGCAUGCAAAAGUGUUCCAUCAUGGAGGAUUCAGUGGAGGUCAUCCUUCAGCAUAAAAGUUGCAAGCCCUCCCAUCAUACUCAGGAAAAGCCAGUUUUCACAGCGGCAUCUGGCGCUUUGCUUGUGGAAGUUUAUGGCCUCUGGUUAUUAUUUGCACUUCCUGGUUUUCAGAAAGUACCCAUAUGGCGCAAGGUACUGGAAGGUUAUAUACAAUAUAUUGGCAGAUAUUUAAAGCUUUGCUCAGCUAUUCGUUCAAUACCCUGGUUAUCCUUUUAGAUGGCAACAAUCUGAAUUUUACCAUGUGCCUGGAUACAGUGGUUGUUUAGAUUUAUAGUCUUACAGAGAGAAAAUGGAAAUCAAUUAAUCACUGAUGUAAGUGAAAUUAAUAUUGUCCAGAUGCCUUAUUUGCCCUCCAGUAGAACACAGACCCAGAAUGUAAUGAAACUCCUGCAUGGGAGAGCAAGGUGUCUGGCAGAUCUGGGAUCUGGUGAAGGGCGACUGGUGAGGCUUUAACAUUGACAGUAAAUGAUAAUUAACUGAAUAUACGACAUGUUUUCAAAUAUCGCGGUUAUUACUAAUCAUUCUGCAUAAUACCAAUGUACAUAUUUGUCUUCUAUAACAUGGACCUCUAACAAAAAUCCUAAUAAUGUAAUGUAUAUAGUAUUUAACAUUUUUAAUAAUGUAUAUCUCCAAGUGCUAUACCAGAUUUCCAGAUGAAGUUUUGUGCUUUAAGCACUUUCUGUUUCAGAUGCUUCUGACGGCUUUCUGCAGAAGACUACAUUCUCAUGACAAUACAUGGUGAGAUGCUUAGCAGCUGGGUGGGAGAGAAUGUAUGGGAAAUAUUACAAAUGUAAAAAAAAACACAUUUGAUAGUCUAUUUAUAAUUUUGCAUGACUUUGCUGUUAGAUGUAGCUCAUUUCUAAGCUCUUGGGGCUUGGCUUUCAAAAAAGAAAUGACUAAUAUGUGGGUUAUUUAUACAGUAAUUUCUCACUAAGAUAAUGGCCACUGGGCAGCCUACCUGGGGCUGCCUCUUUUGUGUUCAAAAAUAGAUCUCAUUAACUCUCAAAUUUGAAUGGAAAAAAAAAAACAUUUUUCUCCUGUUACGUCUAUAAUUGCAAGAAUCAUUGGUCUUGUCGUUAAAAAUAUUCUUCUUGGUUUCUUUUAUACAUGGAAAGCAAACAAUAUGAGCCACAGGUAGUCUGCAUCAUGUCCAGUUUUAAAUGACAUAAAUAUCACAGACGCUGGUUCUCAAAGUGUAGGAUUGGCCUUGAUGUGUUUUGUAGGUAAUUGCUACCACUGUCAAGGUAAAGUGGAAGGGAAUAACAUCCAGUACUGCAAGUUUUAUAAACCAGGACUUUUGGAAGGUAAGCUAAAGGUGUUAAAGUGAAGAGUGUAAUUCCUGUGCCACCAGGAAUUACACACUAGACUUUGUCUUCCAUUGGCCAGUAAAACAAAUAGCUCCGCCCCCAACUCAUUCCAUUGGUUAAGUAAAUGUUGCCGUGUAGGGAUGCUAAAACAAACAUUAAACAUUAAAGCCAUUAUGUGCACGAGCACCAGUGGGAUUCCACACAAAUAUUCAAUGAACAGUGAUCUAUAGACACAGAUUUCUAUAGGUCACUAGUUCUCAGUCAGAGGGCCUCAGCAAACCUACCUGUACUAGUUCUACAACUGUGUGGAAAACCAUCUAUUUAAAAAUUACACAUACCACAUGCAUAUUUUAUUUCACAUGUCCAAAUGUUGAUGAUUCAGUUUUAUCACUUCCUUUCACAAACUGAUUUGUCCAAAUAUAACAAUGUGACUGUUUUCUUGGCACCCGAAGUGGUAAGUAUGCACAGAUGUCCUUUCUUCAUAUAUUGAGCUGAGUAUUAAGAUAGUAUCUUUACAAAUCAGUGCAACAAAUUACAUCAUCUAGACAUUUAUUCUUAAUUGUGGUGUGAUUUUCUCUGAUCAUGGGAAUUCUAUGAAGAAUAUAUAUGGUUAGGUUACACUGUAGAGUUUCAAGUAAUUUAAAAACAAAAUGUUGUGUGAGACAUGUGGAAGGACACAGGCCUGCGUCUUGGGCAUAUGAUAUUGAUGCUAUACGGAAGCUUUCAACACAAGCUACCAUGAGAUGAGGGGAAAAGCAUCUUCCCUUGUCAAAAAGCUUUCUGUUUCAUGUUUUAGCACUGGCUGAAAGGUACCGGUCACCAGUGCCUAUUCGGUGUCUCACCUCAAUCGUCAUAUUGAGGGUGGAAGAGAGUGCUGGUUAUUCACUCCCCCCACCUACAAUCCCUGCAGGUACCGAGACUUGAACACGUGACCUUUGGGUUACAAGUCUGACUGUCUAACUAUUAGGCCAUGACUGCCCCCUUAAAAACCAUUUUUAACUAAAAGGUUUGCGCACAAUAUAUUAAGCUAAAUAUAUUUUGAUAAUUAUAAUGAGAUAAUAAAUAAUACUUAAAAUUUUAAUCUUAAUUCA